CAGUAGCCGCGGUAAUACGUAGGUGGCAAGCGUUGUCCGGAAUUAUUGGGCGUAAAGCGCGCGCAGGUGGUUUAAUAAGUCUGAUGUGAAAGCCCACGGCUCAACCGUGGAGGGUCAUUGGAAACUGUUAAACUUGAGUGCAGAAGGGGAGAGUGGAAUUCCAUGUGUAGCGGUGAAAUGCGUAGAUAUAUGGAGGAACACCGGUGGCGAAAGCGGCUCUCUGGUCUGUAACUGACGCUGAGGAGCGAAAGCGUGGGGAGCGAACAGGAUUAGAUACCCCCGUAGUCCCUGUCUCUUAUAC
rnacentral:rRNA from 1 species